AUACAGAGGGUGCGAGCGUUAAUCGGAAUUACUAGGCGUAAAGCGCGCGUAGGCGGCUUGGCAAGUCGGGUGUGAAAUCCCCGGGCUCAACCUGGGAACUGCAUUCGAGACUGCUUUGCUAGAGUAUGGGAGAGGGAAGUGGAAUUUCCGGUGUAGCGGUGAAAUGCGUAGAUAUCGGAAGGAACAUCAGUGGCGAAAGCGACUUCCUGGACCAAUACUGACGCUCAUGUGCGAAAGCGUGGGGAGCAAACAGGAUUAGAUACCCUGGUAGUCCACGCCAUAAACGAUCAGAACUGGAUGUCGGGAGGGUCUGCCUCUCGGUGUCGUAGCUAACGCGUUAAGUUCUGCGCCUGGGGAGUACGGCCGCAAGGUUGAA
rnacentral:rRNA from 1 species